rnacentral:tRNA from 1 species
GGAGGGAUGGCAGAGCGGACGAUUGCGACGGUCUUGAAAACCGUUGGGCCCUCACGGGUCCCGGGGGUUCGAAUCCCCCUCCCUCCGCCA